rnacentral:rRNA from 1 species
AUACGGAGGGUGCAAGCGUUAAUCGGAAUUACUGGGCGUAAAGCGCGCGUAGGCGGUUUGAUAAGUCGGAUGUGAAAUCCCCGGGCUCAACCUGGGAAUUGCAUUCGAUACUGUCAGGCUAGAGUGUGGUAGAGGGAAGUGGAAUUUCCGGUGUAGCGGUGAAAUGCGUAGAUAUCGGAAGGAACACCAGUGGCGAAGGCGGCUUCCUGGACCAACGCUGACGCUGAGGUGCGAAAGCGUGGGGAGCAAACAGGAUUAGAAACCCUAGUAGUCC